GAGUUUGAUCAUGGCUCAGAACGUACGCUGGCGGCACGCCUAACACAUGCAAGUCGAACGAAGUAGCAAUACUUAGUGGCAGACGGGUGAGUAACAUGUAGGUAUCUGCCCUUUGGCCUGGAAUAACACGAGGAAACUUGUGCUAAUACCGGAUAAGUCUUUACGGAGAAAGCUUUAUGCACCAUUGGAUGAGCCUGCACUUGAUUAGUUUGUUGGUGGGGUAAUGGCCUACCAAGACUGUGAUCAAUAGCUGAUUUGAGAGGAUGAUCAGCCACAUUGGGACUGAGACACGGCCCAAACUCCUACGGGAGGCAGCAGUGGGGAAUCUUGCACAAUGGAGGAAACUCUGAUGCAGCGACGCCGCGUGAGUGAAGAAGGCCCUUGGGUUGUAAAGCUCUUUCGUCGGGGAAGAAAAUGACUGUACCCGAAUAAGAAGGUCCGGCUAACUUCGUGCCAGCAGCCGCGGUAAUACGAAGGGACCUAGCGUAGUUCGGAAUUACUGGGCUUAAAGAGUUCGUAGGUGGUUGAAAAAGUUAGUGGUGAAAUCCCAGAGCUUAACUCUGGAACUGCCAUUAAAACUUUUCAGCUAGAGUAUGAUAGAGGAAAGCAGAAUUUCUAGUGUAGAGGUGAAAUUCGUAGAUAUUAGAAAGAAUACCAAUUGCGAAGGCAGCUUUCUGGAUCAUUACUGACACUGAGGAACGAAAGCAUGGGUAGCGAAGAGGAUUAGAUACCCUCGUAGUCCAUGCCGUAAACGAUGUGUGUUAGACGUUGGAAAUUUAUUUCCAGUGUCGCAGGGAAACCGAUAAACACACCGCCUGGGGAGUACGACCGCAAGGUUAAAACUCAAAUGAAUUGACGGGGACCCGCACAAGUAGUGGAGCAUGUGGUUUAAUUCGAAGAUACGCGCAGAACCUUACCAACACUUGACAUGUUCGUCGCGACUCUAAGAGAUUAGAGUUUUCGGUUCGGCCGGACGAAACACAGGUGCUGCAUGGCUGUCGUCAGCUCGUGUCGUGAGAUGUUGGGUUAAGUCCCGCAACGAGCGCAACCCUCACUUUUAGUUGCCAUCAUUAAGUUGAGCACUCUGAAAGAACUGCCAGUGAUAAGCUGGAGGAAGGUGGGGAUGACGUCAAGUCCUCAUGGCCCUUACGUGUUGGGCUACACACGUGCUACAAUGGUAUCUACAACAGGAAGCAAGACUGCGAAGUUAAGCAAAUCCCUAAAAGAUACCUCAGUUCGGAUUGCACUCUGCAACUCGAGUGCAUGAAGCUGGAAUUACUAGUAAUCGUGGAUCAGCGUGCCACGGUGAAUGCGUUCCCGGGUCUUGUACACACCGCCCGUCACACCAUGGGAGUUGGUUCUACCUUAAGGCAAGGUUUUAAACCCUUGACCACGGUAUAGUCAGCGACUGGGGUGAAGUCGUAACAAGGUAACC
rnacentral:rRNA from 1 species